rnacentral:pre_miRNA from 1 species
UACAAUGUUGAUUCUUUGUCUUAUUUAAAUUUUUUUGGAAUUAAUAUUUUUAUUUUCAUUAGAUUAUAAAACAUGAAUAGUAUUUUACGCGUGACUAAUUUUUUAAGUUUUUUUAAUAAUUUUUUUAAAUAAAACGGAUGGUCAGACGAUAGACGUAGAAACCAAU